GUGUGCAACUGAUGAGUCUUAUGUAUAGAAAUUGUACGUCUGGCGAACCAAAUUAGAAGCUAGAUAUCUAAGAUGAUAAACAACCUCUGGGUCGAUGCAACUGUUGAUGGGUGUUUCAUCCUUUAAGUUUUCACCAACCAAGUAAUCACCACUUUUGUGUAGACAUAAUAUAUCAUUGACAAAUUCUUUUUAUUUUGUAAAUUUUACUUUUAAAAAACGUUUAAUUACUUUAACUCCGGGAAAACACUGUCUUAGCCAUAUUUGGGACUUUUUUUUUUAAUAUUCUUUAAUUCUCUUCAACAUUAUAUUUCAUCUGCUCGUUUUAAACUGUAAAGGGUAUGUGCAUAUAGAAAAAUGAAUUUUAUGUAUAGUAUCUUUGAUUAGUUUUCUACCACAUACAUAUGUUGAUAUAUACACAGAAACAAACAUUUGUUGAUAUAUACACAGAAAGAAA
rnacentral:lncRNA from 1 species